rnacentral:lncRNA from 1 species
CAGCUAUGUAUGCUGAGGUAAAAAGAAGACCUGAAGACAAAUCUGGUUUGACAAUCUCUAUCUGUCACAGCUUAGCUUGGAUCCUCAGAUGGUGUCCACCCACCAACCGUGUCAGGGGAAGGAUUCGCUGCCCUCUGCCGUCGUUCACCCUCCUACCAAAGAGGGAGGCUCAGAAAUGGGAAUCAGCUGGCCAGCAUCUGAUAAUUGCCUACUGUGUGAAGAACACUCUAUGUUCCAAACAUUAAUAAAAGUGGUGGGAUGUGGAAGAGGAGGAAGGCGGCACAUUCAAAAGUAAUAGACGACACCAUCCCUGGAUCCCUGUCUAGGAGCUGAAAUAUAUUAUAGCUGGGAAGGCUGCACCUACAUCUAUAAGCAAGUAUAAUUGAUAAAACAUUUGCAUUGCCCUUUACAAAUUAUCUUUUAGAAUAUUAUUUUAUUUAGCCUUCUAACAACGCUGUGCAGUGGGAUUUUUUUUUCCAUUUUUCAAGGAGGAUCAUGAAGCUUAGAGAGGUUAAAUAACCUGCUCCAAGUCACACAUUUUACAAGUUGGCACAGCCUAGACUCAACUGUGCUUCCUGUCUAAUGUUCAUAAUGCUGUACCCCUGAAAGAGGUUUCCUUCACAUUUGCAAGUUGGCACAGCUUAGACUCAGCUGUGCUUCCUGUCUAGUGUUCAUAAUGCUGUACCCCUGAAAGAGGUUGCCUUCAGCCAGGCCCAGAAGUAAAAACUAAGUAGGAAAAGGAGAGUUCUGAGACAAGAUGUGAGAAAAGGGAUCAGGCAGGUGACAGGACCAUAAAAAAAAAAAAAAGCUUAGUAAGCAAGGGAAACUGGGCCCCCACAGGUUAGGCCAGGGACACUAAGAAGAUAGAUUUGUGAUACACAGGAUUCAAUAUGGGGAGGGACCACAUUUCUUAAAAGGAGGCCCUAGCUAAGUUGUCAGCAGAGGUGUCUUGAAGACAGCCCCCAAUUUUCCCCUUGUUGCAGUACUUACAGGAUUUGGCUUUGUCUAGUUUAAAGAUCCAUGCCAAAGUCAGGCCUCCAAGAUUCUGCAUCUGGUUUGUGGCCCGACAAACUAAGGAAUGUGAUUUGUCAAGAUCAUUUGAUUGUAAGUGACUGAAGUUCAACUGGAACUAUCUGAAGCAAAAAGGGAAGAAUUUCUUGCAUUAUGUAACAAAAUUUUUCAGGGAGCAGGAAUAAUUGGAAAUAAGACAGUAUUUUAUAUCUGUGCUGUCAAAUAUAGUAGCCAUUAAUUAGCCCCGUGUGGCUAGUGGGACUGAGGAAAUACAUUAUAAAUUUCAUUUAAUUGUAAUUAAACUUAACACAUGUAUCUAGUGGUUAACAUAUUGGACAGUGCAGCUUGUCAUGCGGGCAGGAGAAGAAGACUCUUGAUGGAACUAGUUAAAAAAUAAUCUUGGCAAAAGGCCAUGGCUUAGGUCACAUGCACAGCUCUGGAUCAAUCACUGUAGCAAGGAGACUAGAACACUAUCCCAGGCUGGGCCAUGUACUUAACCCCACAGUCACAGGUGGGGCCAUUACUAGAAAAAGCGGGAGAAGGGAUGCUGGGAAGACAAAUCAAAAUCUUCUAAGGUUUUAUGACUCUAUCUUGCUUCCUAAAAAAAAGUUAGCAAGCAUUUACUGAAAGUCUAUUAUGCAUGAUAUAUUUUACAUAUGUAACAUUACUUCUCACAAAACACAAACAAACCCUCAAGGGUCAAUUGUUAUUACAUAUGUUACAUAUCUAGAAAUAAAGACUUGGAUAAUGUGACUUGACCACAGAUAGUAAAUUGCAGAACUGGAACAUAAACCCAAGUUUAGCUCUAAAACCCCUUUCUCCACUGUAAUAUGCUAUCCCCAAAGAUUUGGGAUAUAGAGAAUGUGACUAUUAAUAGUAGAUAAUUUAAAUAAUCAUAGCUGAACACACACAAAUGAAUAACUUGGCUUUCUCCAAAUAGUUAUCUAGAAAGCCUUACUGCUUUUUUUAAAAUAAAAUCUAUUUCCAUUUA